rnacentral:rRNA from 1 species
GACAGAGGGUGCAAACGUUGCUCGGACUCACUGGGCGUAAAGGGCGUGUAGGCGGGUAGAUAAGUCGGGCGUGAAAUCCCUAGGCUCAACCUAGGAACUGCACUCGAAACUGUUUAUCUUGAGUGCCGGAGAGGAAAGCGGAAUUCCUGGUGUAGAGGUGAAAUUCGUAGAUAUCAGGAGGAACACCAGUGGCGAAGGCGGCUUUCUGGACGGUAACUGACGCUGAGACGCGAAAGCCAGGGGAGCAAACGGG